rnacentral:lncRNA from 1 species
UGAGCAUCUGCUGUUCCAAUUCACUGCUUCCUAGGAAGGAUGAGGUGUAACUGUAAUCUGUUACUUUGAGAUCCUUCUGUGAAAGACAUUAAACGAGUACAAGUUGUUGCUGGGAGGCAGUUUGUAUAACCAGUCACUGACCAGAAGACCAGCCAUUAAUUUUUGGUUUCUCUGUUUAUUGCAGCUGAUAAGGAGAAUAUGCCAAGUCAACUGGAUGAGUCAGCACGGGCAACAUAAAGAGCCGAGGGAUCGCCUUGUGCCAGAGCCACCUCCGCAGCCCCUUCGGCCACCCCAGCCCCGAGCAGAGGCUGAGCACAUCUGAAUAUUCCUAUUCAACUCUGCAAACAGCCAGAGAUACUCCAAAACCGUGCGUGAGACCAGAUGAUGUGAAACUUUCCACCAUUAAACCCCUGUUCAGGCGCGCUCCAGAAGCAGG